GACGAACGCUGGCGGCGUGCUUAACACAUGCAAGUCGAACGGAAAGGCCCUGCUUUUGUGGGGUGCUCUAGUGGCGAACGGGUGAGUAACACGUGAGUAACCUGCCCUUUACUUUGUGAUAACUUCAGGAAACUGGGGCUAAUACCGGAUAGGAGCUCCUGCUGCAUGGUGGGGGUUGGAAAGUUUCGGCGGUUGGGGAUGGACUCGCGGCUUAUCAGCUUGUUGGUGGGGUAGUGGCUUACCAAGGCUUUGACGGGUAGCCGGCCUGAGAGGGUGACCGGCCACAUUGGGACUGAGAUACGGCCCAGACUCCUACGGGAGGCAGCAGUGGGGAAUAUUGCACAGUGGGCGGGAGCCUGAUGCAGCAACGCCGCGUGCGGGAUGACGGCCUUCGGGUUGUAAACCGCUUUCGCCUGUGACGAAGCGUGAGUGACGGUAAUGGGUAAAGAAGCACCGGCUAACUACGUG
rnacentral:rRNA from 1 species